ACGGGUGGUACGUACAGCUGUUGUCAUGGCUGUCGUCAGCUCGUGACGUGAGUUGUUCUCUUAAGUGAGGUAACGAGCGCAACCCCCGUUCUGUGUUAUUGUGUCACAGAAGACUGCCUAGCAUUAUUUUGUUAGGAGGAAGGAGGGACGACGUCAAGUCAUCAUGAUGCUUAUAUCCAGGGCUACACACAUCCUACAAUGGGCUAUAACAGAGGGUUGCAAGACCGCAAGGUGGAGCUAAUCCCUAAACUAGCCCUCAGUUGGGAUUGCAGGCUGAAACUCGCCUGCAUGAACCCGGAAUUGGUAGUAAUCGCACAUCAGCAGCGUGCGGUGAAUACGUUCUCGCCUCUU
rnacentral:rRNA from 1 species